GGUGUAGUGUAGCGGUUAUCACAUGGGAUUCUGAUCCCGAAAUUACGAUACUGACUUUCCCAUGACCCAGGUUCGAUUCCUGGCAGGACCU